CUUCCAGCUACGCUACUGGCUCCACGGCCACCCUCUCAUGUAUUUACUACUCCUAUUAAUACUCCUGUGAGGAAACUCAAUGACACAAGUAAGUCCUAAACUAGUUAUUGCCGUCAUCUUGUCUAAUAAACUAUGUUGUCCUUUGUGCAGCCUCCGUCAGCGGGUUCAAACGCGGCACCUGGCAUUUCUCCAACACCUGCCAUCUCGCCGACACCUCCAGAUGAUGGCUCUCCUGCGGUACGCGGCCAAGGUGUCCCUCGUAUCAAUUGGGGGCCUUCACAGUGAGUCAGGUCGACUUAGCUUGAGAUGCAGUUAGUUUGGAGUAUGUGGACUAUGUGGUGAUGGAUUUAUUUUGUUUAAACAUGUGAACUUUGUGGAAUGUAGUUAUUGAACAUGUUGGAGUUAGUUUGGAUGUAUGUGACUUUAGUUUGGAGUAUUUGAACUUGUUACGAUGGACAAAGUGAUGGAAAUAAUCAUUUAUGUGGUAUAUAUUGUCAUCGAUGUCGAUUAUGUGAGCUAUAGGCUCCUGGAUGUGAAAUAUAUUAUUUUCUGGAAAUAUAUGUGUCAUAUGAUCUUCUCAGUAG
rnacentral:lncRNA from 1 species